UAAGUAACUUUUAUGACCACCAGCCUCCAAGAUGGCCCCCAGCAAUCCUCACCUCCUGGUAGUCACACCCUUGUGUAGUCCCCUCCCACAUUAAAUAGGGCUGAGCUGGGUGA